AUUGAACGCUGGCGGCAUGCCUUACACAUGCAAGUCGAACGGCAGCACGGGUGCUUGCCCCUGGUGGCGAGUGGCGAACGGGUGAGUAAUACAUCGGAACAUGUCCUGUAGUGGGGGAUAGCCCGGCGAAAGCCGGAUUAAUACCGCAUACGAUCUACGGAUGAAAGCGGGGGCCCUUCGGGCCUCGCGCUUUAGGGUUGGCCGAUGGCUGAUUAGCUAGUUGGUGGGGUAAAGGCCUACCAAGGCGACGAUCAGUAGCUGGUCUGAGAGGACGACCAGCCACACUGGGACUGAGACACGGCCCAGACUCCUACGGGAGGCAGCAGUGGGGAAUUUUGGACAAUGGGCGAAAGCCUGAUCCAGCAAUGCCGCGUGUGUGAAGAAGGCCUUCGGGUUGUAAAGCACUUUUGUCCGGAAAGAAAUCCUUUGCCCUAAUACGGUCGGGGGAUGACGGUACCGGAAGAAUAAGCACCGGCUAACUACGUG
rnacentral:rRNA from 1 species